rnacentral:rRNA from 1 species
GAGUUUGAUUAUGGCUCAGGAUGAACGCUGGCGACGUGCUUAACACAUGCAAGUCGAACGGAACAUAACCGAGGAAAUUUCUCGAAGUGGAAUCGGUUACGUUUAGUGGCGGACGGGUGCGUAACACGUGGGCAACCUGCCCUGCUUUUCGGAAUAACGCCGGGAAACCGUCGCUAAUGCCGAAUGAUAUGAGAAGAAGGCAUCUUUUUUUCAUCAAAGAAUUUCGAAGCAGGAUGGGCCCGCGCCGGAUUAGCUGGUUGGUGAGGUAACGGCUCACCAAGGCGACGAUCCGUAGCCGACCUGAGAGGGUGAUCGGCCACACUGGAACUGAGACACGGUCCAGACUCCUACGGGAGGCAGCAGUGGGGAAUAUUGCACAAUGGGCGAAAGCCUGAUGCAGCAACACCGCGUGAGCGAUGAAGGCUUUCGAGUCGUAAAGCUCUGUCGCAGGGGAAGAAA